GGAAGUGGCCGCACCGCGCUUCCGGCGCUCUGCGACAGAGAGACGAGGAGAGACACGGGAGGGAACACACGGCUACUAAUAAACCACGCCCACAAGGGAAAUCGAAGGAAUGGGCUGUGCAAGGCACCGUGGCACAGCUCUUCUACAAGGUGCAAUGAGAGCUGCUCCGUGCUGUGCAAUGAGCUGCAGUCAGACACUGAAGGAAUAACAACAAACAGAAACGCCUGCAGGUGUCAGCACACUCAGUCUGACAUUGACUAUAGGUUUGUCACAGCUCAGGUGAGAGCAUCCAUGCCCUCCUCAGGAGCAAACAUCCCCUGAGUCUUUAUCCCCAUAAAACGUAACAAAAUGGUGCACACAGAGUCACUGCUGCUUAGCCAUUUGUUUCCAGAGUCGAUAUGAAAUGUAGCUGCAAAUUUUAUACCAAUGUAAUGUUGAAAAAUGUGGGAAAAAAGUUUUUUAUUCCAGGUGUUGCUACGUUGCCCUUUUCACACUGCAGCACCCCCAUCCUUCAGCUUCACAUUACACAGCUGCAAAAGGAUUAGGAGCUCUGUAGGACAUCACUGGCUUCCAGCAAACUGAAGAAGUUCGGUGAUAAAGCAGUGCUUUAUCAAAAUCAGAUUUCCUUAUGCCAUUUGGUUAAAAAAAACAUCCUGAGUUUAAUAUUCUGUGUAUGUGUGUGCAGUGCAGAGCUGCAGUGACUCAGCCUGUUCCAGCAGCUCCCGUGCCCCCCGCCAUGCUGCCCAGCACUGCAUCCAGUGGAGCUCUCUUCUUGCGGAUGCUGCGCCCGGAGGCGAUGAGGUCGGCGUAGCCCCUUUGGUGGGAGAAGGCGUAGGCAGAGCGCCGAGCAGACACACCGCGGCGGAACGCGCUCUGCCUCCGCUGCCACUGCUCCUCCUCGGACUGGUACUUCUUACGGUUCUUCUGGAUCUGCGUGCAUGCAAAGAGAAAGCGGUUCGUGGGUUGUAAGGAAAAAGACUUGUUUUGCAUUUUUAUAUAUAUAUAUUUAAGGGGAAAAUCAACUUUUUAACAGAAACUGCUUAGCAGGGUCGUUUUCUUGUUUAAAUUAGAAGUUAGAAAUGAGAAUAUAUGCAGAAACACAUGAAGGCUUCAGAAUGACUCACUGCAUCAUUCUGCACUUCGUUAUGUUCAUUUAUCUUUGCAAUGGCUUUCAUUAAAGUAAACUGAAAAUGCA